rnacentral:rRNA from 1 species
CCUACGGGGUGCAGCAGUGAGGAAUAUUGGUCAAUGGCCGUAAGGCUGAACCAGCCAAGUCGCGUGAAGGAAGAAGGAUCUAUGGUUUGUAAACUUCUUUUAUAGGGGAAUAAAGGUAUCCACGUGUGGAUCUUUGCAUGUACCCUAUGAAUAAGCAUCGGCUAACUCCGUGCCAGCAGCCGCGGUAAUACGGAGGAUGCGAGCGUUAUCCGGAUUUAUUGGGUUUAAAGGGUGCGUAGGUUGUUUUUUAAGUCAGCGGUGAAAGUUUGUGGCUCAACCAUAAAAUUGCUGUUGAAACUGGAAGACUUAAGUGUGUUUGAGGUAGGCGGAAUGCGUGGUGUAGCGGUGAAAUGCAUAGAUAUCACGCAGAACUCCGAUUGCGAAGGCAGCUUACUAAGCCAUAACUGACACUGAAGCACGAAAGCGUGGGGAUCAAACAGGAUUAGAUACCCUUGUAGUC